GAUGAAGAACGUAGCGAAAUGCGAUAAGUAAUGUGAAUUGCAGAAUUCAGUGAAUCAUCGAAUCUUUGAACGCACAUUGCGCCCGCCAGUAUUCUGGCGGGCAUGCCUGUUCGAGCGUCAUUUCAACCAUCAAGCCCCCGGCUUGUGUUGGGGACCUGCGGCUGCCGCAGGCCCUGAAAACCAGUGGCGGGCUCGCUGUCACACCGAGCGUAGUAGAUUUUCAUCUCGCCCAGGGCGUGCUGCGGGUUCCGGCCGUAAAAAGCCUUAUUUACCCAAGGUUGACCUCGGAUCAGGUAGGAAGACCCGCUGAACUUAAGCAUAUCAAUAAGCGGAGGA
rnacentral:misc_RNA from 1 species